GGGAAUGUGGCUCAGUGGUAGAGUACUUGCCUAGCAUGCAUGAAGCCCUGGGUUUAAUUCCUCAGUCCCA
rnacentral:tRNA from 1 species